rnacentral:rRNA from 1 species
AACGUAGGAGACAAACGUUAUCCGGAGUUACUGGGCGUAAAGGGCGUGUAGGUGGUUUUGUAAGUCUGGCGUGAAAUUUUUCGGCUUAACCGGGAAAGGUCGUCGGAUACUGCAAGGCUAGAGGACGGUAGAGGCGUGUGGAAUUCCGGGUGUAGUGGUGAAAUGCGUAGAGAUCCGGAGGAACACCAGUGGCGAAGGCGACACGCUGGGCCGUACCUGACACUGAUGCGCGACAGCAGUGGGGAGCAAA